GUAGGUCGGAGAGGUAGAGGUGGCAGUGGGCGUGCAGGAGAAGCUGUAGGUCGGAGAGGUAGAGGUGGCAGUGGGCGUGCAGGAGAAGCUGUAGGUCGGGGGGUAGAGGUGGCAGUGGGCGUGCAGGAGAAGCUGUAGGUCGGGGGGUAGAGGUGGCAGUGGGCGUGCAGGAGAAGCUGUAGGUCGGGAGGUAGAGGUGGCAGUGGGCGUGCAGGAGAAGCUGUAGGUCAGGGGGUAGAGGUGGCAGUGGGCGUGCAGGAGAAGCUGUAGGUCGGAGAGGUAGAGGUGGCAGUGGGC
rnacentral:lncRNA from 1 species